rnacentral:rRNA from 1 species
GACGAACGCUGGCGGCGUGCUUAACACAUGCAAGUCGAACGGUAAGGCCCCUUCGGGGGUACACGAGUGGCGAACGGGUGCGUAACACGUGGGUGAUCUGCCCUGCACUUCGGGAUAAGCCUGGGAAACUGGGUCUAAUACCGGAUAGGACCACGCUCUGCAUGGAGUGUGGUGGAAAGCUUUUGCGGUGUGGGAUGGGCCCGCGGCCUAUCAGCUUGUUGGUGGGGUGGUGGCCUACCAAGGCGACGACGGGUAGCCGGCCUGAGAGGGUGUCCGGCCACACUGGGACUGAGAUACGGCCCAGACUCCUACGGGAGGCAGCAGUGGGGAAUAUUGCACAAUGGGCGCAAGCCUGAUGCAGCGACGCCGCGUGGGGGAUGACGGCCUUCGGGUUGUAAACCUCUUUCAGUACCGACGAAGCGCAAGUGACGGUAGGUACAGAAGAAGCACCGGCCAACUACGUG